rnacentral:rRNA from 1 species
GCAGCCGCGGUAAUACGGGGGAUGCAAGCGUUAUCCGGAUUUAUUGGGUUUAAAGGGUGCGUAGGCGGUGGAUUAAGUCAGCGGUGAAAUUUAGGGGCUCAACCUCUACCGUGCCGUUGAUACUGGUUCGCUAGAAUGCGGAUGCCGUGGGAGGAAUGUGUGGUGUAGCGGUGAAAUGCAUAGAUAUCACACAGAACACCGAUUGCGAAGGCAUCUCACGAAUCCGCUAUUGACGCUGAUGCACGAAAGCGUGGGGAUCAAACAGGAUUAGAUACCCC